rnacentral:rRNA from 1 species
GUGAGGAAUUUUCCGCAAUGGGCGAAAGCCUGACGGAGCAAUGCCGCGUGAAGGAUGAAGGCCUAUGGGUUGUAAACUUCUUUUCUCAGAAAAGAAUUAUGACGGUAUCUGAGGAAUAAGCAUCGGCUAACUCUGUGCCAGCAGCCGCGGUAAGACAGAGGAUGCAAGCGUUAUCCGGGAUGAUUGGGCGUAAAGCGUCUGUAGGUUGUUUAAAAAGUAUUCUGUCAAAGAUUAGGGCUUAACCCUAGAUAGGCAGAAUAAACUUUUAAGCUAGAGUUUGGUAGAGGCAGAGGGAAUUCCCGGUGGAGCGGUGAAAUGCGUAGAUAUCGGGAGGAACACCAAAGGCGAAGGCACUCUGCUGGGCCAAUACUAACACUGAGAGACGAAAGCGAGGGGAGCAAAUGGGAUUAGAUACCCGUGUAGUCC